UGGGGAAUUUUGGACAAUGGGCGAAAGCCUGAUCCAGCAAUGCCGCGUGUGUGAAGAAGGCCUUCGGGUUGUAAAGCACUUUUGUCCGGAAAGAAAUCCUUGGCUCUAAUACAGCCGGGGGGAUGACGGUACCGGAAGAAUAAGCACCGGCUAACUACGUGCCAGCAGCCGCGGUAAUACGUAGGGUGCAAGCGUUAAUCGGAAUUACUGGGCGUAAAGCGUGCGCAGGCGGUUUGCUAAGACCGAUGUGAAAUCCCCGGGCUCAACCUGGGAACUGCAUUGGUGACUGGCAGGCUAGAGUAUGGCAGAGGGGGGUAGAAUUCCACGUGUAGCAGUGAAAGUGCGUAGAGAUGUGGAGGAAUACCGAUGGCGAAGGCAGCCCCCCUGGGGCCAAUACUGACGCUCAUGCACGAAAGCGUGGGGAGCAAACAGGAUUAGAUACCCCUGGUAGUCCACGCCCCUAAACGAUGUCAACUAGUUGUUGGGGAUUCAUUUCCUUAGUAACGUAGCUAACGCGUGAAGUUGACCGCCUGGGGAGUACGGUCGCAAGAUUAAAACUCAAAGGAAUUGACGGGGUCAUAGCUGUUUCCU
rnacentral:rRNA from 1 species